UCUUCGGACCUUGCGCUAAUAGAGAGCCUAAGUCGGAUUAGCUAGUUGGUGGGGUAAAGGCCUACCAAGGCGACGAUCUGUAGCGGGUCUGAGAGGAUGAUCCGCCACACUGGGACUGAGACACGGCCCAGACUCCUACGGGAGGCAGCAGUGGGGAAUAUUGGACAAUGGGCGCAAGCCUGAUCCAGCCAUGCCGCGUGUGUGAAGAAGGCCUUAUGGUUGUAAAGCACUUUAAGCGAGGAGGAGGCUACUGAAGUUAAUACCUUCAGAUAGUGGACGUUACUCGCAGAAUAAGCACCGGCUAACUCUGUGCCAGCAGCCGCGGUAAUACAGAGGGUGCAAGCGUUAAUCGGAUUUACUGGGCGUAAAGCGCGCGUAGGCGGCUAAUUAAGUCAAAUGUGAAAUCCCCGAGCUUAACUUGGGAAUUGCAUUCGAUACUGGUUAGCUAGAGUGUGGGAGAGGAUGGUAGAAUUCCAGGUGUAGCGGUGAAAUGCGUAGAGAUCUGGAGGAAUACCGAUGGCGAAGGCAGCCAUCUGGCCUAACACUGACGCUGAGGUGCGAAAGCAUGGGGAGCAAACAGGAUUAGAUACCCUGGUAGUCCAUGCCGUAAACGAUGUCUACUAGCCGUUGGGGCCUUUGAGGCUUUAGUGGCGCAGCUAACGCGAUAAGUAGACCGCCUGGGGAGUACGGUCGCAAGACUAAAACUCAAAUGAAUUGACGGGGGCCCGCACAAGCGGUGGAGCAUGUGGUUUAAUUCGAUGCAACGCGAAGAACCUUA
rnacentral:rRNA from 1 species